CCUACGGGCGGCAGCAGUGAGGAAUAUUGGUCAAUGGACGAGAGUCUGAACCAGCCAAGUAGCGUGAAGGAUGACUGCCCUAUGGGUUGUAAACUUCUUUUAUAUGGGAAUAAAAUGUUCCACGUGUGGGAUUUUGUAUGUACCAUAUGAAUAAGGAUCGGCUAACUCCGUGCCAGCAGCCGCGGUAAUACGGAGGAUCCGAGCGUUAUCCGGAUUUAUUGGGUUUAAAGGGAGCGUAGGUGGAUUGUUAAGUCAGUUGUGAAAGUUUGCGGCUCAACCGUAAAAUUGCAGUUGAAACUGGCAGUCUUGAGUACAGUAGAGGUGGGCGGAAUUCGUGGUGUAGCGGUGAAAUGCUUAGAUAUCACGAAGAACUCCGAUUGCGAAGGCAGUUCACUGGACUGCAACUGACACUGAGGCUCGAAAGUGGGGGUAUCAAACAGGAUUAGAUACCCGUGUAGUC
rnacentral:rRNA from 1 species